rnacentral:rRNA from 1 species
UACAGAGGUCUCAAGCGUUGUUCGGAUUCAUUGGGCGUAAAGGGUGCGUAGGCGGCGCGGUAAGUCGGGUGUGAAAUCUCGGAGCUUAACUCCGAAACUGCAUUCGAUACUGCCGUGCUUGAGGACUGGAGAGGAGACUGGAAUUUACGGUGUAGCGGUGAAAUGCGUAGAUAUCAGGAGGAAUACCGGUGGCGAAGGCGGGUCUCUGGGCCGAUACUGACGCUGAGGAGCGAAAGCGUGGGGAGCGAACAGG